CCUGUAAUGAGGAUACGUUCCUUUUCUUCAGAAAAGAUUACAAAUAGAAAUCAUUAAUCCCACAAGGAGAGACGCACCCUGGGUACAGAGGAUGGACUGCACCUCACAAGACAGGUCCACGUGCUGCUGCCAAAGACACACCAAUUCUGCUGGGCGCGAAUGGAUUCUAGUAGCGCAUCUGUUACCGGUCACUUAUGACCACAAUUUUCAUUAUUGUCUGGAUAACUGCAAGGAAUGUACAACCUUCUACACAGUUGAUGGCCAAGAGCUUUGUCUGUCUCUCAGCACCACAGAGCACCGAGAGAGUGGUUUCUAUCUUUGGUUUUCUAGCUGUAUGAGUGUACAGAACCUUUCAUAAAGCUAGAUAACCGAAAGUAGGAAUGAUUCUCAUAGUCGCUUUAUUUUACUGGAAAUGCAGCUGACGAACAUCUUCUGCGCUCAAGGCUCAUCCAAGCUGUGCUAACCGUAGGAAGAGCCUGGCUGUGCUGGGAGAGAUAGAAGGGAGCACAUGUCUGUCCUCGGCUCUCAGCUCCUUACCCACAAAACCAUGGGUGCCAUCUGAGAAGAGAGAAGCUAUGGCAAUGCCACAGUGGGAGAUACAGGCCGCCAGUCUGCGGGCAUAGGGGUGCGGGCAAGGAGGCCAUCUUAUGUGGGAACGUCUCUGCAGUGUCUAAGAUGGCUGAGCUGGCAUCCGAGGUGUUUUCCAUUAGAUUGAUGGACAUGACUUUUGAAGAUGGACUGGACAUGCUGGCCCUGUGAUAUGAUGGAAAAGAUGGACAUGACAGGAGUGUGUGUGUGUGUGUGAAAAGACAAGAUGAGACCAAAGACUAUUCUCAGCUGCCCUCUCAGCCACCACAAUUACAGCGAAGGAUCAGGAAACUGUAUUUUGUUGAAUAACCAGCAGUUGUUUGUCGUCUAUACAAUACAAUUACAUAAUUCUAUGUUACUAUAUAAUUUGAGCAUGUUUUAUGUUAUCUUUUAUGAAUAAGUUAAAUUUGAGACAGUUUACUGUCCUUGCAUA